rnacentral:rRNA from 1 species
CAUCGCCUCCUGACAAAUAUAGGAGGUCCAGCCUGCCCAGUGACAAAGUUCAACGGCCGCGGUACCCUAACCGUGCGAAGGUAGCAUAAUCACUUGUUCUUUAAAUGAGGACUAGUAUCAACGGCACCACGAGGACUCUACUGUCUCCUCCCUCCAAUCAGUGAAACUGAUCCCCCCGUGAAGAAGCGGGGAUUAUUCUAUAAGACGAGAAGACCCCAUGGAGCUUUAAACCCAAUAGGCAUCUCUGCAAACUUAAACCACCUUAGCCUUAGAGAUAUGCACUAUUAGUUUUAGGCUGGGGUGACCGCGGAGUAAAACUAAACCUCCACGACAAACGGGCUAACGCCCUGAUCUACGAACCACACUUCUAAGAACCAAUAUAUUGUUGUCCAAUGACCCAAUUAUAUGAUCAACGAACCAAGUUACCCUGGGGAUAACAGCGCAAUCUACUUCAAGAGCCCCUAUCGACAAGUAGGUUUACGACCUCGAUGUUGGAUCAGGGUAUCCCAGU